ACCACGAGAGUUUGCAACACCCGAAGUCGGUGAGGUAACCGUAAGGAGCCAGCCGCCGAAGGUGGGGCAGAUGAUUGGGGUGAAGUCGUAACAAGGUAUCCGUACCGGAAGGUGCGGAUGGAUCACCUCCUUUCUAUGGAGA
rnacentral:rRNA from 1 species